GGAAGCAUGCCCGAGCAUUAAAAGGAUUACUUUGAUAGAGUACACAACAGGGGUUAAAAUCCCCUUACUUCC
rnacentral:tRNA from 1 species